rnacentral:tRNA from 1 species
ACCCCGAUGGUGUAAUGGUAGCACAAGGGAUUUUGGUUCCCUUUGCAGAGGUUCGAGUCCUCUUCGGGGUG